rnacentral:rRNA from 1 species
AACGCUGGCGGCGUGCUUAACACAUGCAAGUCGAACGCGAAAGGGACUUCGGUCCUGAGUAAAGUGGCGCACGGGUGAGUAACGCGUAGAUAACCUGUCUUCAUGUCUGGAAUAAUACGCCAAAGGGGUACUAAUACCGGAUAUUCUUGCUUUUCAUAAGUUAUGCAAGCAAAGGUGGCCUCUGCAUAUGCUACCGCAUGAAGAGGGGUCUGCGUACCAUUAGCUAGUAGGUGGGGUAAUGGCCUACCUAGGCGACGAUGGUUAGCGGGUCUGAGAGGAUGAUCCGCCACACUGGCACUGGAACACGGGCCAGACUCCUACGGGAGGCAGCAGUGAGGAAUAUUGCGCAAUGGGGGAAACCCUGACGCAGCGACGCCGCGUGAGUGAAGGAAGGCCUUCGGGUCGUAAAGCUCUGUCAAGAGGAAAGAAGUGUACAAUGGCUAAUACCUGUUGUAUUUGACGGUACCUCUAAAGGAAGCACCGGCUAACUCCGUGCCAGCAGCCGC